GGGGCUGUAGCUCAGCUGGGAGAGCGCCUCGUUCGCCAUGAGGAGGGCAGGGGUUCGAUCCCCCUCGGCUCCACCA
rnacentral:tRNA from 1 species